ensembl:piRNA 21ur-12621 ncRNA
UUUUUCCAAAUUGUGCAUUAU